rnacentral:rRNA from 1 species
GACGAACGCUGGCGGCGUGCCUAAUACAUGCAAGUCGAGCGGACCAAAGGGAGCUUGCUCCUGGAGGUUAGCGGCGAACGGGUGAGUAACACGUGGGCAACCUGCCUGUAAGACUGGGAUAACAUCGAGAAAUCGGUGCUAAUACCGGAUAAUAAAAGAACUGCAUGGUUCUUUUUGAAAGAUGGUUUCGGCUAUCACUUACAGAUGGGCCCGCGGCGCAUUAGCUAGUUGGUGAGGUAACGGCUCACCAAGGCGACGAUGCGUAGCCGACCUGAGAGGGUGAUCGGCCACACUGGGACUGAGACACGGCCCAGACUCCUACGGGAGGCAGCAGUAGGGAAUCUUCCGCAAUGGACGAAAGUCUGACGGAGCAACGCCGCGUGAGUGAUGAAGGUUUUCGGAUCGUAAAACUCUGUUGUUAGGGAAGAACAAGUGCCGUUCGAAAGGGCGGCACCUUGACGGUACCUAACGAGAAAGCCACGGCUAACUACGUGCCAGCAGCCGCGGUAAAGU